UUUGCAGUGUUGCCGUAGCCCUGUUGGUCUCAGAAUAUCAGAGAGACAAUGUUGGUGAGGUAAUAUCUUUUAUUAGACCAAUUUCUAUUGGUGAAAGAAGCAAGCUUGCAAGCUUACUCAGAGCUCUUCUUCAUCUCUCUCUAUGUAAUGGUA